UUUGAGGCUCCCAACCUUUCAGCCCUGACAAGGACUCGAGCAGUUAUAAUCCCGUCUUAAUUUGGCAACUUUUGUAAAACAUAUAAAGGGCCCAGAGUCACCUUUGGUCGCCAAGGCCCCCCGAUGACCCUAUAGUUUCCACCUCCCGCCUGGGCUAGGUGGGCCGCUCCUUUCGGUUGCGUUCCUCUCCGGCAGUCAAGGUCUUACACUCAACUUCCCGCCGCGGGGCACAGCCAUGCAGGGUGGGGCCACCUGUGCCUGAGCCCUUGCCUCUCUCCCCCUUCCCUUUGCAGGAGUCCUUUCCACCCAGCUGGUUGCUGCACUUGGGGGAAGGGAACGCAGUGAGGAGGGGGAGGAGCCUCCGGACUAAAAGCUAGGAACCUUUGUGAGGUCCUUUCAAGCACGGAUCGCGGUGCCCAGUGGUCAAUACCCUUACUUUUAUCCAGUGUCUGCUUCAUUUAAACUUAAUCAACUCCAUCAAUGAACUGGAACAGGGAAACGUCCCUGCGGUCGCAUUUCCUUUCCUUUUAUUUUACACACUGCUUGUCCGCCCUUACUGCAACACCCUUGGCUUCUAAUGUGAGGAAAAACACGGAAUGACAAGUGUGGGAAAGAGCAAGCACUAAAUUACUGUCAGAAAAAUAAACGGAGUAGCACAGUGGUGCUCAGUGAUUUACGGGGGCAAUUAGUCACCACCCCACAGCGCUGCUGAGGACAGCACGGCAGCAGACGCGUCAGGCCUGAGAGGAAGAAGAGGCUUUGCACUGCUCUCCAGACAACUUUUCAUACAGCAAGAGAGGACAUUCGAGCACAUUAGGUUCCAUGUCUUCAUUCUGGGUGCCCACCCUUUGCGUUAUUCAACCAACCUAAUACAUGAACAUAUUUUAGCACAAUAUUAACCUGUUCUGUGUGUGUUAAAAAGACUCCAGCUUUUUUCUCUCCCACUAGCCAAAGUUAGGUUUUCCCCCACCCCUUAAAAAACAAGAUAAACAAAACAACCUUUCCCCACUCCUAACUCGUCCCCCUGAUGUGUGCCUUCGGUCUGUCUCAAUUUUUGCAUCUUGCUACCAUGUUGUGUAUUUGCUCAGAGCCGCUGGGUGCUAAGGAAUUUGGUCUGCAGCUCCUCCGGGGAAGUUUGGUGAGCUGGUACGGGAGGUGAUGAACAAGGCUGUAAAAUACGAUAAAUGGAAAUGAUACAUAAACUUGCCGAUAUUUGUUACCAUGUUCUUUACCAUACUAUAUGCAGUGCCUAUGUAUAUGUACAUGGCAAAAUAAACCUACUAAAAUAGAA